rnacentral:rRNA from 1 species
UGGGGAAUAUUGCGCAAUGGUCGAAAGACUGACGCAGCGACGCCGCGUGUGGGAGGAAGCCUUUCGGGGUGUAAACCACUGUCAGAUGGGAAGAACACUAUAUGUUCGAAUAGGGCAUGUAGCUGACGGUACCAUCAGAGGAAGCGCCGGCUAACUCCGUGCCAGCAGCCGCGGUAAGACGGAGGGCGCAAGCGUUGUUCGGAAUUACUGGGCGUAAAGCGCGGGCAGGUGGUUUCUUAAGUCUUUUGUGAAACUCCGGGGCUCAACUCCGGACAUGCAGAAGAUACUGGGAGACUGGAGACCGGUAGAGGCUAGCGGAAUUCCUGGUGUAGCGGUGGAAUGCGUAGAUAUCAGGAAGAACACCGGUGGCGAAGGCGGCUAGCUGGGCCGGGUCUGACACUCAUCCGCGAAAGCGUGGGGAGCAAACAGGAUUAGAUACCCCCGUAGUCC